GACGAACGCUGGCGGCGUGCCUAAUACAUGCAAGUCGAACGAGAGCGACCGGUUCUUGCGCUGGUCAAUCUAGUGGCGAACGGGUGAGUAACACGUGUGUAACCUCCCCAUCAGAGGGGGAUAACAUCCGGAAACGGAUGCUAAAACCGCAUAGGUCUUCGAACCGCAUUGUUUGAAGAGGAAAAGAGGCGCAAGCUUCUGCUGAUGGGUGGACCCGCGGUGCAUGAGCUAGUUGGUGAGGUAACGGCUCACCAAGGGCGUGAUGCAUAGCCGACCGCAGGGGGUGAUCGGCCACCUUGGGACUUAGACACGGCCAUAACUCCUACGGGAGGCAGCAGUAGGGAAUCUUCCGCAAUGGACGCAAGUCUGACGGAGCAACGCCGCGUGAGUGAAGAAGGUGUUCGGAUCGUAAAACUCUGUUGUUAGAGAAGAACAAGUGCUAGAGUAACUGUUAGCGCCUUGACGGUAUCUAACCAGAAAGCCACGGCUAACUACGUG
rnacentral:rRNA from 1 species